rnacentral:lncRNA from 1 species
UGUCUGCGCACCCUUUCAACCAAAAUAUACAAGUAAGGACAUGUCGCAACUAACAAUUUAUGAAAAAUUAUUUGUCGAUAUGUCAUACGGUAUUUGAAAAUCAGUGAAAAUAAGCAAAAAUCAAAAUUUAGAACAUGACCUUGACCUUUGACCUUGACCUCAUUUUCAUUUUUUUGGACCAAGGACCUCACAUCUGAAGACC